CUUAAAGGUAAGAAAGUGUGGUAGAAGUGAGAAGCAAGUUAAGACUUAUAAACGAUUAAAGUGUUUGGGAAAUAAGUAGAAGUCGUGAAACAAAAGCUAGCAUUCCUAGCUUUUUAUAAGUGCUUCUUGACUUUUUAUACAAACGAUACAAAUAAGUGCUUCUAACUUAUAAAUUCAGAAGCUGAGCUUAAAAGCCGAGCCAAACACCCCC
rnacentral:lncRNA from 1 species